AUGGACACUGAGCCUGAAUACAGAAUAGUUUUUUUCAUCGUUGCCAAAUAUUAUUUUGCUGUAAUCAAUAUGUGCCUCUUCUCGCACUGCACAGGGCCAUCAACAGAGAAGCCAAACAAGCAACACUGCAGGCAAGACACGCGAAGCAACCGGCGCAAAAUCCAAACCCUAAACCCCAAGAGUCCCCCUUCCCAACCAUUCCCUCCGUUACAGGACCCGUCAACACUUAAGAAAAAGUUUGACGACAUCUUUUCUGCUACCCGCUAUACCAAAGCUCUCGAAGUCAUAAAGAAACUUCAAAAGGACCAAGCACAGGAAAUCAAGACUUUUAGGUUAAAGCUGGAGAACCUUCAAACUCUUAAAGAUCAAGUAUACAGGCUUCGGGACAGUAUUGCGCAAGAUCAAGAGAAGUCAGAUGCCUUAAAAGCUCAAAUGGAGGACCUGAAAACAAACAUCCAGGCUGUCGAAAACAAAAUCCGUCGUACCGAAACAAGUAUCAUGGACUUGAGGAGACUUCAGGAGCAAAUUAGCACCAAGGCAACAGCUAGAAGUACAUAUUUAACACUUCAGCAGCAACAGCAUGCUGCCCUUUCUGAGGAAAAUGAAGAUACCGAUGAGGAACUGAGGGAGUGGCAGACAACAUUUGAAGAAAAAAUUGCGCUACUGGAUACAAAAAUCGACUCAGCCAUCAGAAAGAUAUUCAAUAAACAUAAUCUCGGGCCAAUUCCUGAUGCUCCUUUUACUAAUGCUAUUGCCACGAACCUUACAUACAGGACUAAAGCAAGACUAUCGAGUCUCGAGGACGAUUUGCAGGAAAAGAAGAAAUCUAGUGAGACACAGUUAGAGUUUCUUUGGGGACGUUAUCUCAAAGUAAACGUCCGCUACUCUGAAGUUGAUGGCCAGAUACAAUCUAAGAAAGAAUCUAAGAUAGGUGUUUUAAGGCGCAUGAAAGAUAAAGAGAAUGAACGAGAUGCUGCAGAGAUGGAGCUUUCAAAGCAUAAUCUGGCCCGUAUUGAUGAAAGAGAUCGGCAUUUGCAAAUUGAGGUUGAGAAGAAGACAAAUGCCUUGGGAGAAAGAGACUAUGAUUUGAUUAUAAGUCAGAAGCGCCCAGAGAUAUAUGCAUUGGAUCACAAGAUAAAAACACUUCACCGGGAGAAAGAUAACAUAACUACUGAUGCUGAUGACAGAGUAAAAUUAGAACUGAAGAAGGAUGAAUUGGAAAAGUGCAAGAAGAAACUUAAAAAGAUAUAUGAUGAACAUAAGGACAAAUUUAGAAGUGUUCUUAAGGGGAGGCUUCCUUAUGAGAAGGAUGUCAAGAAGGAGAUUACUCGAGCUUUUGGGUUUGUAGACGCAGAAUACAAUGAUUUGAGCUCAAAAUCUCUGGAAGCAGAACAGCAGUCGAAAUUGGCACAAAUGAAAAUUUCUGCUGCUAGAAGCCACUUGUCAAAGCUCCAAAAAGAUUUGGACGCAAAAAGAAACCAUCUGAACUCGAAACUUCAACCCAUUACUAAGGUAUCUGUUGACAUCAACACUUACCCCAAGAUUCUGAAAGAUGCCAUGGACGACAGAGAUAAACAAACAAAUACGUACAAUUAUGCAAAGGGAAUGCGGCAAAUGUAUGAACCUUUUGAAAAAGUGGCCCGCCAGCAGCACAAGUGUCCUUGCUGUGAUCGUGUUUUCACACCUGAUGAAGAGGACAUCUUUGAAGAAGGCACAAGUACCGCAGAGCGCCUGAAUGUACUGGCAAUCGAAUUAUCAAAUGCUGAAGACUUUUUCAAUCGAUUGGAUAAUCUCCGUGUGGUUUAUGAUGAAUAUGUGAAACUGGGGAAAGAGAACAUAGCUUUAGCAGAGAAGGAUUUGGAACAACUUUUGGCAGAUGAAAGUGAGAAGGCGCAGAUAUUCAAAGACCUUGUGAGUGCUCUUGCUCAAGUUAAAACGGACAGGGAUGGAGUCGAAGUCUUGUUACAUCCAGUUGAUACUAUCAACAGGCAUGUGCAAGAAAUACAGGAGUUAGAACCACAAGUCAAAGAUCUUGAAUAUAAGCUUGAUUCUCGUGGCCAAGGUGUUAAAUCUGUCGAGGAAAUCCAGUUGGAGCUGAACUCUGUGCAGAGGGCAAGGGACACAUUGAUCAGUGAAGUAGACGAUCUCAGGGAUCAGCAAAAAAUACUUAGCGAGGAUCUGUCAAAUGCUCAGAUGCGGUGGCAUGAUCUUAGGGAAGAAAAACUAAGAGCCUCAAGUGUAUUGCUGAAGUUCAAAAAGGCUGAAGAAGAUUUGGUACUUUUUGCUGAGGAAAAAGAGCAACUGAUCAUAGAUCAGAAGCAUUUAGAAGAGGCUCUUGUUCCAUUGUCAAAAGAGAGAGAAAGCUUGUUGCAAGAGCAUAAAGCUUUGAAGGAAAGGCUUGACCAGGAGUAUGAUCAGCUAGCUGAAAGAAAAAGGGGAUUCCAGCAAGAAAUCGACGCACUUGGAACCCUUAACACACGCAUCAAAGGGUACCUGGAUGCAAAGAAAGUAGAGAAGCUUAAUGAACUGCAGGAAAGGCAUACCCUAUCCCUGUCUCAGUUACAGAAAUGUGAGGCAAGAAAGCAAGACAUCUCGGUUGAGCUUGACAAGAGCAAACAGCUAUUGCGCAGCCAAGAUCAAUUGAAAAGAAACAUUGAUGACAAUCUGAACUACAGGAAAACAAAGGCUGAAGUGGAUCGACUUGCUCAUGAUAUCGAGUUACUUGAAGAAAAUGUGCUUUCCAUCGGCAGCAAGUCCACAAUAGGAGCUGAUCAUAAGCGGCAUGCUCAAGAAAAGGAGAAGCUUCUUUCAGAGUAUAAUAGGUGUGAAGGAACAAUUUCUGUUUACCAAAGUAAUAUUUCAAAGCACAAACUUGAGCUUAAACAGACACAAUACAAGGAUAUUGAGAAAAGAUAUUUUAACCAACUUCUCCAACUUAAGACAACUGAGAUGGCAAAUAAGGACUUGGAGCGAUACUAUGCUGCUUUGGAUAAGGCUCUUAUGCGGUUCCAUACCAUGAAAAUGGAAGAGAUAAAUAAAAUAAUAAAGGAAUUGUGGCAGCAGACAUACAGAGGCCAAUAUUUUUUUUUUGAAAACCCCCUCCAUGUAUUAAUUAACUUAAAAUAUAUUGAUUGCAUAAGCAUCAGUUCUGACUCCGAGGGUGCAGGCACUCGAUCAUAUAGCUAUCGUGUUGUCAUGCAAAAUGGUGGUGCUGAGCUGGAAAUGCGAGGGCGAUGCAGUGCUGGCCAGAAGGUUCUUGCUUCUCUUAUAAUCAGACUGGCACUGGCAGAGACAUUCUGUCUGAAUUGCGGCAUAUUAGCUCUGGAUGAGCCAACCACCAAUCUUGACGGGCCGAAUGCGGAGAGCCUAGCUGCUGCCCUAUUGAGAAUAAUGGAAAGCAGAAAAGGCCAGGAGAACUUCCAGCUGAUUGUAAUCACCCAUGAUGAGCGGUUUGCUCAGCUUAUUGGUCAGAGGCAGCUUGCCGAGAAGUACUACCGAGUUUCCAAGGAUGAGCAACAACACAGCAAAAUUGAAUCCCAGGAGAUAUUUGACUGA
rnacentral:rRNA from 1 species